AUGGCCGAUCGCCGUGUAGGAGGGAGAAGCAAUCUUGCUGCUGGUCAGUCCAAAGCGGCAGUUCGGAAACAAACUGCGUUUGCUGGGCGGAAGCCUACUGCGCCUGCAGUAAAAGAACAAGCCCCUGCCCCCAAGCCCACCAGAUCUACAGCCUCAACUGAUGGUUCCGCUCAGAUUCCCCCCUGGAAGAAAGUGGAAGACCUCAUUGAACUUCCUGGAUUCUCCCUCCCACAAGAUGUGAAUGUGACAUUAACUGAAUGGAAGGGUGGAUAUGAACCAUUUGGAGAGUUGAUUGAAGCAUGGGUACUAAUUGAGGGGAUUCCCCCAAAGUGGUGUACUUGGAAAAAUGUCAGAAUCAAAAUAGCCUGUAGAGAUCCAACCAAGAUUCCUUUUGAGAGACUGAUUGAGAUGAAGAAAAAGUUAUUCCUACUUGGCUUCACUGUGGAGGGUUUUGAACAAACAGGUGGUGCUGACUCUGUCAUUGAUAUAGAUGAGGAUGAGGAUGGUAAUGAGGAGGAUGAGAGAGCUGAAGAAGAACAAGCUGAAAAAGUUAAUGAAACUCAGGGAGAACAUGUUUCUGAAGGGUCAGCUGGUGAUCUGGCCAUUGAUGAACUUGACAAAGCAAAUUUCUCAACUAAACAUGGGUCCUCAAACAAAUAUGGUGCUCAAAAGUUGGUGGUUACACCUGGGGAAUAUGAACAUGACGCUGAUCAGGAGAAUUUCAUCAUGGAAUGUGCUUUGGUGGCUGUUGAUAUUGAUGAACAGAACCAAAAAACUUAUGGGGAGGGGAAGGAGGAUGAAGUUGUGGUGACCCAAAAAACCCCUUCUCCUUUUGGAAAGAAUGUUACACAUAUAACUCCUGAUCAAAGUGCUGGUAGUAUGGAAUAUUGUGAGGGUCUGUUAAUAUUAGUGGAUAUCUCUGAUUAUGAAAAUGAGGAAUCAAAAGAAGAAGAGCUGGGGGUUCUCCCUUGUGAGGCUGUACAAAUCCUACAAAGUGAGACCUGGAAGAGGUCCCUGUUGGACACUUAA
rnacentral:rRNA from 1 species